rnacentral:rRNA from 1 species
UGGGGAAUUUUGGACAAUGGGCGCAAGCCUGAUCCAGCCAUGCCGCGUGCGGGAAGAAGGCCUUCGGGUUGUAAACCGCUUUUGUCAGGGAAGAAAUCUUCUGAGUUAAUACCUCGGGAGGAUGACGGUACCUGAAGAAUAAGCACCGGCUAACUACGUGCCAGCAGCCGCGGUAAUACGUAGGGUGCAAGCGUUAAUCGGAAUUACUGGGCGUAAAGCGUGCGCAGGCGGUUUUGUAAGACAGAGGUGAAAUCCCCGGCUCAACCUGGGAACUGCCUUUGUGACUGCAAGGCUUGAGUGCGGCAGAGGGGGAUGGAAUUCCGCGUGUAGCAGUGAAAUGCGUAGAUAUGCGGAGGAACACCGAUGGCGAAGGCAAUCCCCUGGGCCUGCACUGACGCUCAUGCACGAAAGCGUGGGGAGCAAACAGGAUUAGAUACCCUGGUAGUCCACGCCCUAAACGAUGUCAACUGGUUGUUGGGAAGGUUCCUUCUCAGUAACGUAGCUAACGCGUGAAGUUGACCGCCUGGGGAGUACGGCCGCAAGGUUGAAACUUAAAAGGAAUUGACGGGGUCAUAGCUGUUUCCUG